rnacentral:lncRNA from 1 species
CAUGCCUUCACUGGAAUCAAAUCAACAAACAACAACACGGCCUGGAUUUUGUUCUCUGCUCCUUGCAGAAGUACCCCAGUCACCAUUCAUAUGCUGAAGGCUAUUGCCUCUUUCUUCUGACAAUGCUUCCUUGCCUCUCAAGGAGUUCCAGCCUGUCAUAGGUAAUCUUUUUCCCUGCAGGAAAAAGAAUUCCAAAUAACACACAACCAGAUUGAAUGCACCCUUCAGAGACUGGCAGCUGCCUCGUUA